CUAAUACAUGCAAGUCGAGCGAACAGAGUAUUGGAGCUUGCUCCUUUAAGACGUUAGCGGCGGACGGGUGAGUAACACGUGGGCAACCUACCCUAUAGUUUGGGAUAACUCCGGGAAACCGGGGCUAAUACCGAAUAAUACUCUUUUGCUCAUGUGUGACAAGCUGAAAGACGGUUUCGGCUGUCGCUAUAGGAUGGGCCCGCGGCGCAUUAGCUAGUUGGUGAGGUAACGGCUCACCAAGGCGACGAUGCGUAGCCGACCUGAGAGGGUGAUCGGCCACACUGGGACUGAGACACGGCCCAGACUCCUACGGGAGGCAGCAGUAGGGAAUCUUCCACAAUGGGCGAAAGCCUGAUGGAGCAACGCCGCGUGAGUGAAGAAGGAUUUCGAUUCGUAAAACUCUGUUGUAAGGGAAGAACAAGUACAGUAGUAACUGGCUGUACCUUGACGGUACCUUAAUAGAAAGCCACGGUUAACUACUUGCCAGCACCCGCGGUAAUACUAAGGUGGCAAGCGUUGUCCGGAAUUAUUGGGCGUAA
rnacentral:rRNA from 1 species